rnacentral:rRNA from 1 species
UACGAAGGACCCGAGCGUUAUCCGGAUUUAUUGGGUUUAAAGGGUGCGUAGGCGGACUUACAAGUCAGUGGUGAAAUCUCCCCGCUCAACGGGGAAACUGCCAUUGAAACUAUUUGUCUUGAGUACAUUUGAGGCGGGCGGAAUGUGUCAUGUAGAGGUGAAAUUCUUAGAUAUGACACAGAACACCAAUUGCGAAGGCAGCUCGCUAAACUGUAACUGACGCUGAGGCACGAAAGCGUGGGUAGCAAACAGG